AGCGGCAGGCCUAAUACAUGCAAGUCGAGGGGUAACAGGAAGUGCUUGCACUUCGCUGACGACCGGCGCACGGGUGAGUACCGCGUAUACAAUCUGCCUCAUACUAGGGAAUAGCCCGAAGAAAUUUGGAUUAAUGCCCUAUAGUAUCUUUUUAAGGCAUCUUAUUAAGAUUAAAGGUUACGGUAUGAGAUGAGUAUGCGUUCUAUUAGCUAGUAGGUGUGGUAACGGCACACCUAGGCUACGAUAGAUAGGGGCCCUGAGAGGGGGAUCCCCCACACUGGUACUGAGACACGGACCAGACUCCUACGGGAGGCAGCAGUAAGGAAUAUUGGACAAUGGGCGAAAGCCUGAUCCAGCCAUGCCGCGUGCAGGAUGACGGCCCUAUGGGUUGUAAACUGCUUUUAUAUAGGAAGAAAAACUUUCUCGUGAGAAAGCUUGACGGUACUAUAAGAAUAAGGAUCGGCUAACUCCGUGCCAGCAGCCGCGGUAAUACGGAGGAUCCAAGCGUUAUCCGGAAUCAUUGGGUUUAAAGGGUCCGUAGGUGGACAAAUAAGUCAGAGGUGAAAUCCUGCAGCUCAACUGUAGAACUGCCUUUGAUACUGUUUGUCUUGAGUUAUUAUGAAGUGGUUAGAAUGUGUAGUGUAGCGGUGAAAUGCAUAGAUAUUACACAGAAUACCGAUUGCGAAGGCAGAUCACUAAUAAUUAACUGACACUGAGGGACGAAAGCGUGGGUAGCGAACAGGAUUAGAUACCCUGGUAGUCCACGCCGUAAACGAUGGUCACUAGCUGUUUGGACUUCGGUCUGAGUGGCUAAGCGAAAGUGAUAAGUGACCCACCUGGGGAGUACGU
rnacentral:rRNA from 1 species